UACAGAGGAUGCAAGCGUUAUCCGGAAUGAUUGGGCGUAAAGCGUCUGUAGGUGGCUUUUUAAGUCCGCCGUCAAAUCCCCAGGGCUCAACUCUGGACAGGCGGUGGAAACUACCAAGCUGGAGUACGGUAGGGGCAGAGGGAAUUUCCGGUGGAGCGGUGAAAUGCGUAGAUAUCUGGAGGAACACCGGUGGCGAAGGCGGCAUCCUGGACCAAUUCUGACGCUGAGGAGCGAAAAGCCAGGGGAGCAAAACGGG
rnacentral:rRNA from 1 species